UACAGGGGGUGCAAACGUUGCUCGGAAUCAUUGGGCGUAAAGAGCGUGUAGGCGGCUCGGUAAGUCCGCUGUGAAAGUCCAGGGCUCAACCCUGGAAUGCCGGUGGAAACUGUCGAGCUAGAAUCCGGAAGAGGCGAGUGGAAUUCCUGGUGUAGCGGUGAAAUGCGCAGAUAUCAGGAGGAACACCAAUGGCGAAGGCAGCUCGCUGGGACGGUAUUGACGCUGAGACGCGAAAGCGUGGGGAGCAAACAGG
rnacentral:rRNA from 1 species